CAAAAUAUAAUUCUCCUCUUCCUUGGUUUCAAAACCCUAAUUUCUUUUACAGUGAAUAUUUUGGCACUUAUUUUUUCUCUACAGUUUCAAUGGUUCAGAGUUUCGAUAGGAAUAAUUGGUUUUAGGGGUGAGAGGAACAUGAAGUGUUGAAGACAAAAUUACGAGAGGUGCUCUUUACCGCUAGAAGAAAAAAAAUGAUUCUUCGACAAUCACAAUCAAAUUCGCCAAUGAAGUUGUUCUCCAAGAUGGAGAUCAUGAAUGAAUUACUUGAUGUUGAAAAACCAAAGUACUCAUAGAGCAGACUAAGAGUUAAAGAAAUACAGGAAAAGCAAGAUAUAA